rnacentral:rRNA from 1 species
ACACAUGCAAGUCGAGCGGUAACAGGUCCAGCUUGCUGGAUGCUGACGAGCGGCGGACGGGUGAGUAAUGCAUAGGAAUCUGCCCGGUAGUGGGGGAUAACCUGGGGAAACCCAGGCUAAUACCGCAUACGCCCUACGGGGGAAAGCAGGGGCUCUUCGGACCUUGCGCUAUCGGAUGAGCCUAUGUCGGAUUAGCUAGUUGGUAGGGUAAAGGCCUACCAAGGCGACGAUCCGUAGCUGGUCUGAGAGGAUGAUCAGCCACAUCGGGACUGAGACACGGCCCGAACUCCCACGGGAGGCAGCAGUGGGGAAUAUUGGACAAUGGGGGCAACCCUGAUCCAGCCAUGCCGCGUGUGUGAAGAAGGCCUUCGGGUUGUAAAGCACUUUCAGCGAGGAAGAAGGCCUGGUGGCCAAUACCCACCAGGAAGGACAUCACUCGCAGAAGAGGCACCGGCUAACUCCGUGCCAGCAGCCGCGGUAAUACGGAGGGUGCGAGCGUUAAUCGGAAUUACUGGGCGUAAAGCGCGCGUAGGUGGCUUGAUAAGCCGGUUGUGAAAGCCCUGGGCUCAACCUGGGAACGGCAUCCGGAACUGUCAGGCUAGAGUGCAGGAGAGGAAGGUAGAAUUCCCGGUGUAGCGGUGAAAUGCGUAGAGAUCGGGAGGAAUACCAGUGGCGAAGGCGGCCUUCUGGACUGACACUGACACUGAGGUGCGAAAGCGUGGGUAGCAAACAGGAUUAGAUACCCUGGUAGUCCACGCCGUAAACGAUGUCGACUAGCCGUUGGGUCCCUCGCGGACUUUGUGGCGCAGUUAACGCGAUAAGUCGACCGCCUGGGGAGUACGGCCGCAAGGUUAAAACUCAAAUGAAUUGACGGGGCCCGCACAAGCGGUGGAGCAUGUGGUUUAAUUCGAUGCAACGCGAAGAACCUUACCUACCCUUGACAUCCUGCGAACUUGGUAGAGAUACCUUGGUGCCUUCGGGAGCGCAGAGACAGGUGCUGCAUGGCUGUCGUCAGCUCGUGUUGUGAAAUGUUGGGUUAAGUCCCGUAACGAGCGCAACCCUUGUCCUUAUUUGCCAGCGGGUAAUGCCGGGAACUCUAAGGAGACUGCCGGUGACAAACCGGAGGAAGGUGGGGACGACGUCAAGUCAUCAUGGCCCUUACGGGUAGGGCUACACACGUGCUACAAUGGUCAGUACAAAGGGUUGCCAACUCGCGAGAGUGCGCUAAUCCCAUAAAGCUGAUCUCAGUCCGGAUCGGAGUCUGCAACUCGACUCCGUGAAGUCGGAAUCGCUAGUAAUCGUGAAUCAGAAUGUCACGGUGAAUACGUUCCCGGGCCUUGUACACACCGCCCGUCACACCAUGGGAGUGGACUGCACCAGAAGUGGUUAGCCUAACCUUCGGGAGGGCG